GGAAGAGCAGCAGCAGCAGCAGCAGCGUCCCGUCUCUUGAUGCAAUCUUAGAAUCUCGUCCAUAUUUUCUCACGGACCGUAAAAAAUUUUGUUAUAUAAUCAGAUUUUCGUUGCCUGAGACGCCCGUGCGGCAGGUGAGCGUAUUAAAAGUAAGGAGGUGUAUGUAUUAGCAGCAAGGAGCGCGGGGUGAAUGCUGCCCGGCGUGUGGAGGCGUCAGGUCUCAUAAAAAAUACCUAAUUUGCACCCCAUGUACGUAGAAAAGGAAAAAUCAUAAGGUUACGUCGCCUUCAGGAGUUCGUGACAGGAAUCAAGAUGCUGUCACGGCUUCGUUGUGUGGCUGACAACUUCCUUAAUAAUCAGAGUGUGACAGAGAUUGCACAAGCCGCCACUGUAUAUGAGUGGCCAGAAAUCACACGCCUUGUUACGGAGCCAGUCCUCACCGCCUCCCUGACCUUGGCGGGGAAGGGGAAGAGCAAGGUCCAGCGCAGGAGGUCCUGGACGCGGCCUGGCGGUGCUGCAUGACGGGACACGACUCUCAGACACGCCCGGUCAUUACGUGCUUUAUUUUACGCGUUUCUCGGAAAAAUAGAGGAUUCAAGAGGACUGAAGAGGGGUGGGAGAGUGCCUGGGGGUCACGGGUACCUCUUGGGCAGCGCCAGGCCCGACCCGGGAGGUUCCAUCACGCCAUGCGAAGAGCUGGUGGAGAGGCACGGCGCCGCCCCGCCCUCCCAUCCCCGCCUCUCCACGCCCCGCCCUGGGCCUCCGUGUGGACGAGCCUUGCCCUGAUGGGAAGGAAAAGAUCAACAAGAUUAUGACGGCCCUUACUUUGCGUGGCGGCGCGGCCCUUCCUCCUCCAGGGUGGCAGGGCGGCCAUCAGUACUGACAGGUGUGUCUACAUCGAUGUUUUGAACACCUUAUCACGCCUGGCCUCCGCUGCUCGAACAUCUUAUCUCGUCUUUUUUAUCAUCAGCCUUCAAAAAACUCAGAGAAGCUGCGCCGUGAUGGACAACACGACGUAAUCUUAAGCCGCUCGGCGCGCACCAGACGGAGAGGACUUAGGGAGAUUUGAAUCAGCACCUGGACCUUCAUUCUCUCUAGCUCCUCGGGCAGGGAUCGCCGCGGCCCAUCAGCCCCUCAGCCUGGCGCCCACACGUCCGUCUACAGGAGGGUCACGCUGAGGAGAACAGACCGGAGGGAGGGAGAAGGCGCCAAGAAUGAAGGUAUUUUUUCUCUAAUCUUUAUGCAGGCUGGCCACCCGCACACCACCGGUAACAUACAGUAUGAGGUUCCCGCACCACCUGGCGCCGCUCUCCCUCAUCCCUGAUAGACGUCCACGAGUGUCUCCUCCAUAUGUUACCUCCAUCUCUCUUUCCUAUAAAAAUUCCGUGAACCGUCUGAGAGUUUUGUUACCAGAAGAUCGCGUGGCAGGCCUUGGGUUCCUCCGCAGCUGUUCCUGAUAGAUGGGAGGGGGCGGGGAGUGCAUGGCGGGGGAGGGCAGGGGCAAGUGGGCGCGGCGAGGGACAGUGAUAACGGGGGAAGGAGACAGACGAGGGCGUAAGUAAUGUGAUAAAAAUGGACUUAUUUGAGCGAAAUGUGUGGCGUGACGUGACUGAGGGGGUUCCUUACUGUUCAUCUUGGGGGUGAUCUGCGCCGCUUGGCCAAUCAGCGAGCGAGUUGCCUUACGUCAUAAUUAUCAUCCCUUCCUCUCCUCCUCCUUCUCCUUUCUUCUCUCCUCCUGCAGUUUCCACACUCCUUUUCCAGGCACUCUCCACCUCCUCCUCUUCCCUCACCUUGGAAAAUCAGCAGGGCAUCUCAGUUUAUUCAGCCUCCUAAUUUAUUCAGCAUUUUAAUCUAUUCACAAGGACCAGCAGUGCAUAAUUUCGAAGCACAACACUCAACGCACACACCACCACCUUUAUUGUGUAGUGCGGAUGCCGGCGCCACCACCACCACCACCACCGCCACCGCCGCUGCCUCCGCCACUUUAUCGCGGCCCGCUGUGCUGAUUGAGUCUUCCCGCGGCUCUGUGGUGGAGGGCCCAAGAUUCCACUUAAGAUAUCCCGCUCCCUGUAUUAGCUUUUCAAUGUAGUGUUCUGUGUUAGGCGUGGUUGCCCGAGUGGUGGUGGUCUGGGCGUCUUUCUCUACAGGUUAUGGGGACUUUCUUGGCCGUGGGUGUUUACUUAUGUACUUCUUCCCGUCCAAUCUUCUGUUAUUUAUUCGUCCAAGCGUCACUGUUCACCUGGUUAAGGGGUUAGCAAAGGUUAGAUUAGCUUAUGUAUGUGACUUUCUUGAUAAAUCUUACUUUUUUCCUCAUCCAGUUUUCUGUUCUUUAUUCGUGUAAGCUUCA